rnacentral:rRNA from 1 species
GACGAACGCUGGCGGCGUGCUUAACACAUGCAAGUCGAACGGAAAGGCCCUGCUUUUGUGGGGUGCUCGAGUGGCGAACGGGUGAGUAACACGUGAGUAACCUGCCCUUGACUUUGGGAUAACUUCAGGAAACUGGGGCUAAUACCGGAUAGGAGCUCCUGCUGCAUGGUGGGGGUUGGAAAGUUUCGGCGGUUGGGGAUGGACUCGCGGCUUAUCAGCUUGUUGGUGGGGUAGUGGCUUACCAAGGCUUUGACGGGUAGCCGGCCUGAGAGGGUGACCGGCCACAUUUGGGACGGGAUAAGGGCCCGACCCCCUAGGGGGGGCAGAGGGGGGAAAAUUGGCAAAAGGGGCGGAGGCCGAAGGCAGAAACGCCGGGGGGGGGAGGACGGCCUUGGGGUGGAAAACGGUUUUCCCCUUGGACGAGGGGGGGGUAACGGUAAGGGGAAAAAAAGCCCCGGCAAACUAGGG